GCCGGAGUGGCGGAACCGGCAGACGCGCCGGACUUAAAAUCCGGCGGAGGGCGGCCUCCGUGUGGGUUCGAGUCCCACCUCCGGCACCA
rnacentral:tRNA from 1 species